rnacentral:misc_RNA from 1 species
UUUCUCUCUCCACCAUUUUCACUACUAUAACUCUCCGAUUUUCCGUCUUCGAUACUCUCCGAUGACCGAUCACCGUGUUGACCAGUUCCACGGGCGUCCGAUUCCGGCGAGCUAUGAGAAUGUGCUUUUGGCGAUGGCUUGUACAUGUGACUACCAGGAUGGUACAAUUGUUGGUGGUGCAGUGUUUGUAAUGGUUGUGGCGUAUUAUAAAACUCUUGAGCUAAUGCUUGUGGGGCCGCAAUAUAGUGAGG